rnacentral:lncRNA from 1 species
AAAAAUCAUUAUAAACAAGGAUGAAACACUUCAAAUGAUGCUUUUCAUUGUGGACGGACGCGUAAUCAUUGAAAAGACAGAUGGUUCUCAGUUGGAACAUCUAGGCCCAGGAGAUUUUUAUGGAGAGGAACUUCUAGUUUCCCCAUUGUGGACCUCCUCUAGUGAUGCAAAACCCAUAAACCAGUCUGUUCAGGCCAUUGAUGAUGUUCAAGCCCUUGUUCUCUUUGUCACAGACAUGGCGACCUUGAGCUUUAGUUCCAGGCGGUAUAUCAACGAGUUGCGCAUGGUGGUAACUAUUCUUCAGAAAGUAAGCUCCUCUCUAUUUAGAAGAUAUAUAAAAGAUGAAUAACUGGAUUCGCACCUUCCAUCCUAACUAGCUACUAAUAUACAAUGAUGUUACUUAUUUAAUUUAUAUAAUGUUCUCUUUAUGUUUGAGAAAUUAAUAAUGUGUCAAAUCCUAGGUGCCAAAACUUCAAACUAUGGAUAAACAAGUAUUGAAAGCAAUGUCUCAUCAUCUUUCUCCGGUUAGCUAUAAACGCGACGACUAUAUUGUUCGAGAGAACCAACCAGUUAGUAGGAUGUUCUUCGUCACGAGGGGAGAGGUAACAAAAAAUGAGAACCCUCUGGAAGCAAAUUUUAUUGGAGAAGAACUUCUUGAGUGGGUAUUGGAUAAGUCUUUUCCUACCAUAUUACCCUUGUCGACCUGCACUGUUAGAGUAGUCUCAAAUGAUGCCGAAGUCCUCAUUUUGAAGGCCAGGAUGUUGAAGAAUGUAGUCUCUAAGUUCAUGAAGCAUUUCAGCAAUUUCUCCUCUCUCUCAGAUAUCCGGUUAACUUGGCUAAAGAAAGUAAGUUGCUCCAUCUGCAGUACUAACUUUUAACCAAUUUGCUUUAUAUUUUUCUUAACUGACAAUGUCACAUCUAUCUAAUUUUAGGUGGAAAUCUUUCAACAAAUGGAUGAACAAGUGUUGGAAGCAAUAUGCAAGUGCCUUAAGCACAUGAACUUCAAUGUUGCCAAACGCCAUAUUCUUCAAGAGAAAAAACCACUUAAAAUGAUGUUCUUCGUCAUCCGAGGAGUUGUAUUAAUUGAAAGCGAUAGUGCUUUGGAAGUGAACGUUAAAAACACCUGUGAAAUAGGAAGUUUCUAUGGAGAAGAACUUGUACAUUGGGUUACAACUUGGGUACACAAGUCCUUUCCUGCCAAACUACCUUUAUCACCUGGUUCUGCGCUAUGUAGUGUGCGUGGUGGUCCUGUCGAAAUACUUGCUCUCAAAGCCGACGACUUGAAGAGUGUAGUCUAUGAAUUGAGGUCGAAAUUCAUCACGGAAACCACCCUGCCUACAGAUUCUGAUCAGCCUCGAGAACUGACCAUCCUAAAGAAUGUAAGUUCCUCUGGAUGAAGAGAACCUGACCUAUAUAUAUAUAUUAUAUCCUAUAUAUUUUAAUCAUUAUUCUAAUUUCUCCUUUGCCUUAAAUAAAUAUGGUCUCCAAUAAUAUCCUAGGUGGAAAUCCUUAAGACUAUGAAUGAGGAAGUGUUGAAAGAAGUAUGCAAGCAUCUUACUGAAAAAACGUAUAAAGAUGAGUACAUUAUUAUGAAGGAUAAACAAAUGGAAAUGAUGUUCUUCAUCGUCAGCGGAGUUGUGUCAGUAACAAACGAGAGCUCGAAACAUUACCUUAGAGAAGGAGAAUGUCCAAAUCACAGUGGAGAUGAGCUUAUACAACGUUGGGUGCGAUCUAAAUCUACCAGCGUUUCUGCCGAAUUGCCCACCUCUCCUUCUAGUUUUUGGGCCAUCGGUGAAGUUGAAGUUCUGAUUCUUAAGGCCGAAGACUUGGCAAGUGUUCAGCUUGGUGAUCGAAUUGGUUAGUAUUAUCAUGUAUGUGCAACUAAUUAAUUAAUUUUGUCGUGAGUUGUGCAUAUAAUAACGGCAUGUGUGUAGUAAUAAGAUGUUAUCUUCCCACCGCGGCUACAUGCCUGCUUAUAUACAUACGUGCUUUCGUUGUCUGAUUUCUAGUAUUUGAUGAUCUUGGCAGGCUCUUGAGGAAAUGGCAAGGAAGAGUGAUGGUACGAUUACUUGUCCAAGGACAGGUUUGGUUUGCAAUUAAACAAAUCUGGUGAAGGCAUGUGUGUGUAUUUAUGUAUGCAACCCCGCCUUAGUUGUGACCUUUGUUGGAAAAGAUAAGGAGGUGGGGUAAUUGGUUGUACAUUAUUGUGUGGAGGUGCCAAGGUAAGCACUCUUUUUUUUCAAAUACCAAAUUUUCCUCUUCUGGGGAUUGUUUAUUAGAAAAGAAUUAUUAUUUUUUAUUUUUGGUCGAAAAUCAUAUCAUUAAAAGAAGCCCUGGAAAAGGAACAAAAGCUGGUAUCAAAUUACUUAUUAGGGAGGAAGACCAGAACUUUAGAAGCUAACUUCAACAUUUUUUUGUUUAAUUAUCCAAGGCUUAGGCUUGAAUUCAAUAUGUUUUUCAUGAAACUUGCCAAAAUUGAAAUUCUCAUUACAUCACUAGCUAGCUAGCAACAAGACAAUGAAUUAUAUGUCGGCCAUCAUCAUACAAUACGAGUUCGGCGUUAAUUUCGAUUUGAUUUUGCAUCCCACUAGAACUAUAGUAGAACCAAACAAUUCAUCAUGUUCACGUCUGACAUGAAGAAGUUGAGCGUUUGAAGAUGACCCGAGAAAGUGGUCCCCGCGGUCUCUUUGGGAGGUGGAGAUGGAAAGAAAUUCAACUUAGCCAGUCCCUUAGCAGCUGAAUAAUCCCAUGCCAUAACCUCGAGCUUAAUGGCCACUUCUCUCAUGGAGGGCCUUUCAUCCUGCAACCCUAGACAGCUUUUUAAGAGAUCAACCACUUCUUGGCUAUCUCCAAAUUUUCCUCCGUGAUUAUUUUAUCAUCAAGAAUUUGAUCCAAGCGACCCAGCAAAUAUAUAUAUAUAUAUAUAUAUAUAUAUAUUUAGUCCAUGGUAAAGCGUUUAGGAGACGAACAAAUUUAUGAGAAGAAGACUUGGGUAGAAGACUAGAAGUCUGGAAGCCAACAACUUUCGCAUUUCUUUUAUUUAUAAUCCAAGCCUUGAAUUAAAAAUGUUUUUCAUGAGGACUUGCAAAAUGAAAUUUGCUUUGGUUGGGAACGAGAAGACUUAGAAGUAGAUCUAGUCUCGAUGCUUGCUAGCUUUAACAUAUUUUAUUAAAGCCUGGAAUUAAAAAUGUUUUUCAUAAGAACUAGCUUGCACUGCAAUUUAUAAAAUCACAAAUCUUACCAAAAUGAAAUUUGCUUUGAUUUGGGAGAUGAACCAAUUUAGUCAACAAGACUUGCAGAGAAGACCAGAUUUUAUUCUCAAUGCUAACAUAACUUUUUUUUAAAAAAAAAAAAAUCCAAGUCUAGAAUUAAAAUGCUUUUUUUUUAAAUUUUUUUUUAUUGCGAUUAACUCAUACUGGAAUUAAAAGCAAACCAAAAGGUAGAGAAUAGUGAAAUAUUUAAAAUAUCAGCUAAUUUCAUUGGUUAAUGCAAAUCUUAAAAAUUAAAAUUAUUAAUUAAAUGAAGAGAAUAUGAUAAAUUCACACUUUUUCAUAUUAACAUAAUAACUGGUUUUUAUUUUACUCCAUGAAUAAUAUCUAGUUCGCUAAAUAAAAUUUGCGUUUAUUUUUAUGGAUAAUUAAAAGUUUAGGGGGAGAUUGAAGUAAAAUUUGCUUUUCUUUAACAAUUUGUGGCAUUCUCUUCUCAACUUCUCGUGUGCGGUGAAAACUGGUACGUGGGGUUAUUGGAAAUUAUGGUCUUGUAAAUUGUACGUUCCAAUCUUGUAGUUACUACCGGGGGGUCAUCCAUAUAAUUAUUCUAUUACUUCUCAUGUCCAACAUUAAAAAUUAUCCAGAAAACCAUAGUGCAGUGAAGCUGAAAAAGAAAGGAAAAUCAUUAUAAAAAAAAUAGUUACAACACAUUAAAGGAUUCUUUGCCAGAUAGAGUUCAAGAGGAUGAACAGAAAGUUAAAGUCACUACAAUAUUGUUGGGUAUAUAUGAUAGCUGAAGCCAACUGGAAUUGUUGAGCUGGCAGUGGUUAGUUCAGUGUUAGAUGGUUAGGCUGUUACGCAACAGUUUUAGAAGUUCGUUAAGAGCUUAAGAACAAGUGUAUAAAUACUCUAAGAAACCUUGUAAGGAUUUAUAAGGAUCUCACAUUAUUAGAACUUCAGCGUCUAACCUAAAACUAAACCAAUCCUAAUGCAUCAAAGACUAUGCUCUCAUGCAAUACCCAAAGUUCAUAUACGACUACAUAUGUUCAUGCAAAACUGUGAACAAAUCAUGCACUUCAAUUCAUAAGUAAAUGAGCAAAGAUCACAAACCUUGUUUUACACAGUUGUUCCGACUGCCGAAAAUCUUCUAUUCACCGGAAAUCACCUCUCUCAAGCUCAACUUUCGCUCUCAAAUACCAAGUGUUCCCUCAAGCAUAACCCUUCACCUUUUAUACUGAAGCCCUAGCAUCAGGAAGCGAAAGGGCGUAACAAUUAUGACAGCACUCAUCCAACGUGUCCACUCCUAGCAUUCAUUACAAACACAUGCUUGCACGGAAGCCUAGGCCUCAUGCUAAGCGAAGAUUUUUAUCCCAGCAAGCCAACCCCAGCAAAUCUAAUAAGUGCAUCACGAUUCGGAAACCUGUUCCGAUCGACAAAGCAUGCCGAACGGCAGGCUCACAAGGUUGAGUUCACCUCACCCGCCUAGCCGUUCUUCCUAGCAUGUCAAACGGCAGGUGCUCAGGGUCGAGUUCUCCUCACCCUCAUAGUCUUUCAUCUUUUCAUACCGAACGACAAGGGCAUAUGAUAGACUUUCCCCCAAGUACCCUUUUUCCCAACAACCCCAUUGGUUGGAGACUGGGGGGACUAUAUAAGUAUCAUCGGCAAACCACUAGGAACUUGCUAAAAUUCCUGUAGCGAGGCCCGGAUCAGAAUGUCGAAGACAUGUACGAGUACCCAACCAAGAAGUCCUUUCUCAAUCGAGAACUUGGGGGAGUCAUGUUGGUACCAUAUUUGACUAGGUCUCUCACGCCACGACACAUGGAAAUGACCUGACACCAAGCAGGGCCUAGAAGCCCAAGUUGGCCAGCCUUACGAGUGGUAGAUGCCCUGAGCACCCACUAUUGAUUCUACACUGACCGGCUCUUCACGUAGGCUCACAAUUGACAAUCGGCAUGUGUGCUCAGCACCCGUUGUCAAUUCAGGCUCCCAAAAGAUAUCUCAUAGGGAUGUGUUGUGUUCUUUACUGGUAUACUUUCUAGGAUACAUGGUAGUUCCCCAAGCUAUUCCCACAAGUCCCACAUCGAAAGUUUAUACCAAUGAAACACCAAAACUUCUAUAAAUAAGGCCUUUUGCGGGCAAAAGGUAAUAGCGACUUUACACUUAUGCCCUUACUUUGUCAUCAGCUAACUUAUAUUUUCUUCGGCUAACUUUAGUAUUGGAGGGCCUUCGGUCGGUAUCACACCAAUGUCUUAGGUCUUACCUACUGCUUUUUUCCUUUCUCUGAGAAAUGCCGACGGACAUGCUUACUGAAGGCAUAUCAGAUCACACAUCAUCCUUAAAUUUGGGCCCACUACUGAUCAUCUAGUUUUGAGCACAAACAACUGCAAUGAAGUAGAAUGUUCAAAUCACAGCGGAGAUGACCUUAUAGAAUAUUGGAUGCAAUCUAAAUAUAUUGUCUUUUCUACCAAGUUGCCCUUAUCUCCUUUUAAUUUUUGGGCCAUCGGUGAAGUUGAAGUUUUCGUUCUAAUGGCCAACGACUUGGCUGAGGUUCAGCCUCGUCCAAGUGCAACUGUAAAUUGAUUGUUCAAUUAUUCAAGUUUAUUAGCAAUUUUGUUCUGUAACUGUUGGAAUGUCAUGUGCUCUAUGUACAUAAAUCAUUCCCUGUCCAAACGCAACCGCAUAUCUCCUUCAAAAUAUCUUUCUUUUGUGGGUCGGAAAACCAAAUUGAAAUUAAUAGUAUCUACAAAUUACCUUACCGAAACGUAUUCUGUAUUUUUAUAUUGAAUUAAUUUGAAAGAAAUCCAAGUAGCUUAUCAUCUACGUGUACAUCACAUAGUUGUGCAAUCACUUGAAAGGUUCAGACGGCAAGUUGUAUAAGACUCUUUCAACGAGAAAGUCUCAAUUCCAAAUAUAUAGUUCUGUGGCCCGAAAUCACUUCCAGUCGCUUUAAGAGAGAUGAGUUGGGAGUGUAUAUUGAGUGCAUGCAUUGUAGCUAGCUGCUAAUUAUAUUCAGAGAUGCUGCUUUGCCUUGACCUGAUUCAGAUAUAUACUGUUUUUGUGUGGGAAGGAUGGAAGGAAGAGUAUCAAAAAACAAGGUUCAUCAAAUGUCAACCCUAUCUACUUAUACGCCAAAUAUUGUUCACAUGGCAAUCAUACGUCAUAGUUGAUAACUACAGUGUUUUCUUUCUUUCCAAUCUCAUUGUUUUGCGUUGAGUACAAUUUGGACACACAUAUCGUUACUGCUUAAAACGUCCACCGUCAAGACCUUAUCCAUGGAAAUUCAUUUUCCCUUAUUUCACACCUGCAAUAAUUCCACAACUAAUACUCCCAGAAAACAGGCCACAGAAAUGGGCCACGUGGCCACCUAUUCUGGACCAAACAACAUCGACAUUAUAUAUUUACCAUUUUUAUUAUGGAGAAUGCUAGCAAUCUUUUUUCUAACUUUCUUUUUUGGACUUUCUCUCUUGUACAUGUGUUACUUUCUCUACACUUAAAACAAUGUCAUUAAUGCAUUAGACAAUUUAUCUUUUUUUUCCCAAAUUGUGAAACCCCGUAUUUAUAAAAUUGUAUAGUUUGAAGAUUUGAUAUUUUGCCAUUUAAUUUAUAUAUUAUAUUAUAUUAUAUUAUAUAUGUGUGUAUUACAUAAAUAUCCUAAUACAUUAUAUAUGGAUAUGCUUAGUCAUUGUUAGUGUAGUACGUGUCAAAGAAAAACAAAUGCUUAGCAAGCAUAGCUAUAUACUAGCCUUGUCAAUUCACCAAGAAAAGUUGUAUAGGAUUGGAGGAAUUGGGAACUACCCCAUCUACAAAGCUAGACCACAUAAAAAUAACUUGGAUGGUAAGUGUUUGUAAACCGCCAAACACCAUCCAAUAGGAAGGGAGUCACUGCCGAUAUAUUCCUUAUAUAUAUAUAUAUAUAUAUAUAUAGGACGUGAGUUGCAUAGCAAACGGAAAAAAAUACAACAAGAGAGAAAUAUUGGUAGAGAGGAGUAAGGAAAAGAGUGAGAAACUGAGUUUGUGAAUUCGAUGGAAAAUUGGGAAACACUUUACAUUUCUAGCAAAAGCUUUGGUAUCAAGGUAGGGGUUUCUUGGUGACCUUUUACAAAGAUUGAUCUAAUUAAAUUUCGUGAGCUCUAUAUUAUGUGUGAUAUUGUAUAAUGUUCUUGAUAUACUAUAUUUACGUAUUGUGAACUAUUUGAAUAAUGUUAGCAUAAUUAUAUCAUGUCAUGGUAAUUGGUCGGAGUUGUUGGGUGGAGAAGAUAAUUGUGGAAAAGAGGGUAAUAAGAAGGUUCUUUUGUGUAGUUGAGUCUGACCAUUGUAGGGACCAAGUUCAGGCAAGCUCGUGUGCACAGUAGAUUAGGAAAUCGGCGGUAUAAUUGUCGAUUGGGUGAUUUGGGCUUGGAGAUCAAUGGUAUAGACAAGAUGACUAGCAAAAGGGGAAUUAUGAGAUAACUGUGAUGGGUGUUAGUUUAUAUAAUGGGGCAUUCGGAAUCACAGUGGUAAAAUGCAUGGUAUGGGACAUGCAAAUUUGCUUGCCCUACUAUAUAGAUUAACGGGUUGGGUAGAAUUGAAGAGCAUUCAUGCAUCAUUAUUAUUAUUAACAUUAAUGUGAUAUUUGGCUGUGUGAUUGCAUGUCACUUAAUUUAGUUAUAUCAAUCUACUAUGGUAAGGUCUCAUAUCCCUACUAAGCUGUGGUUGCUCAUCCCUCACCCUGUUUACUUUUUCAGAUGAAUUAGUGGGCAAGACAAGGAGUAAAUCGGUUGGGGCUGAAUUAGAUGAUAGUGAUAGAGCUUUAUUUAUUUAUUGUAAAGUUGUAAGAUUUUGGAUCUAUUUUUAUAAAAGAAGUUUAUUUUAAACCAUGUUUUGGCUUUUAUCUAUUUAUUUUAUUUUAGUUUUUAUUUUCUCACGCACUGGGCGCGGGAUUUUUACGUACCUCGGUCCGGGGCGUGACACAAAUUUACCCAUAUUAAAUGCAUUAAUUUUAUAUUUUCUUCAAUUUACAACUUAAAGUUCAAUUAAAUAAACAUUUGAAAAUAAAUUUAAAUUUUUUUUUAAAUUUAAUGAACAUUCUAAUGGAUUAAAAAAGUUAAAAAAUAAAAAGAAAUAGAAAAAAAAGAAGAUGAAAAUCCAAACCCAUUACACCAUCUGUCUCUCUCUCUGACCCAAAACCCAGCCCCCUCCCUUGGCCAAAACAACAGUCCUCAUCCGUACCCAAUCAUCAUCAUCGCUUUCCAAUCCAAAACCCCACCAUCCAUUGUACCUCUCGCUCUCUCCUCCGAUUCCAUACCAAAAAACUCAUCCCCCUUCCCUCACCAAGAAAAAAGUGAACAAUUUUUUAUAUUUUAUAUUUUAAAUCAUUGACGUUAAUUUUGUGGAAUAUGUUAAUUCUCCCUUAAUGUUUUUAACAAGAUGCAAACAAAAGUUAGUUUGUUCAAUGCAUUUAAUAAGGUAAAUUUGAGAAACAAAAGAUACAUUGUCUAAUGUAUUAAUGGCAUUUUUUAAGUAUAAAAAGUGACACAUGUCAUGAGGGGAAGAGAGAAGGUUCAAAAGAGAAAGUUAGAGAGAAGGUUGCUAACAUUCCCCUUUUAUUAUAACAUGACUUUAGUCUUUAUGAGUCCCGAUCCCUUUAAAAGUAAAGUUUGAGUAAUAAAUUACUAAAAGAAAUAAAUUAUUAGGUGUUUAAUGUACAUACCCUUAAUAAAGCCUAAACAAAGGUGUUUAGGCAAAACUCUUCUCACUGCAAAAAUUCCUAGCACAUUCUCUCCCAAAAAACACUCCUAAAGCCGUUUUUACUUUGAAAAAGGAGGAAGCCAUUGUUCUUCCUCCCAUCUCCCCUCUCCCCUCUCCCCUCUCCUCUCUUCUUUCCUCAUUUUCAUAGACAAAAGGUUUUCCCUAUUUGUCUUCGUUUUGUUAUGACAGUCAAAGUGUUAUAUACUUAGUCAAGAACCAAGUGUUUCAUAGAAGGUCUAAGCAUAUUGAUAGACGAUAUUACCGGAUAAGAGAUUGGGUGAACAAUAAGGAUAUUGUAAUAGAGAAGGUUCAUACAGAUGAGAACGCUUCAGAUUGCUUGAUCAAGCCAGUCACAGCUAAGAAGUUCAGACAUUUUUGAGCUUGCUCAAUCUUGUUGCAUGCUAAAGAUUGAGGUGGAGCUCUUGGGAAUUACUAGAACGGUUUUCCAAGAGGGUUGAAAAGGAUCUAGGGGUCGAUGAUUUUCACAAGGUAUUUAAGGCUUGCCAAUGUGGAUAUUGUUGAUGUUGGCUCACCUCAAGAUAUGGAAGGAUUGAAGGAAACGGGCAGUCAAACGAGCAACAGACGUGUUGACUGGGCUCUGGCCCUCAAGUGGCAGAACUCUGACUCGAGAUGAAACAGGCGCUCGAGCGGCGCGAGUGGCGCUCUAGCAAGACACGUGAAUCCAGCGUGUAUCCCUGACUUAUCUGGACAGAUUUUCUCUUAGUUUUGAGAUGUUUUAGGUUUCCUAUUCCUUGUAUAAUAGUACUAAAAUCCCAUGAAGUAUAAAUAGGCACUUUAGCACUAGAUUUUGAUAACGUGAGAAAAUUAAGACAUCAAAUUGGGUUGAGCCAAGGGUGAAAGAAAAGAGAGUUAGGAUUUGUGAGAGAGCAAAUGGGCUUCUUCAUUGUAACCAAAGAGGUUCUUUCGUACUAGUGAAUUUCUUAGGGAUCACCAAGAGGACGUUGACACAACGGCAAACCUCUAUAAAUUCUUGUGUUCUUUGUUUGUGUUUAUUUUUCAGUUUGUGUGUGUGCUUUAUCUUUUCGUGACUUGUGUGUGAUUGUUGCGUAGUCAAUCAACAAUAUGGUCUUGAAGUGUUAUGAUUUUAAAGUGCCUAUGUCUUUGUCACUGUGUGUUUCGUACUUUUUGGAGCAGAAGGAAAAACACAAAACCACCGAACACUUUACAAUUUUGUCUGUCCUUUCCCCCUUAUUGAUAUCAUUGAAAUAAAAGUUGCAAUGAAACCACAAGGUGCCAUUAAGAAGGUCAUAUCAUUACAUUACUUGCUCCCUGUAUACUGCUCAUGAACCGUGAAGACUUUAUCCAUGUAAAGUCAUUUUCCCAUUCAUACCUGCAUUAGUUCCACAACUAACAAGUGCCAAAAAAAAGUCUCUCCUUUUAAUUCCGCAACGUGCAUUCAAUAAGAUUCAAAACGUGGCAGAAAACAGUCCACACAAACGCUUCACGUGGCCACGUACCUUGGACCAAACAGCAUGUACACAGUACAUACAUCUACCAUUCUUAUAAACUUGACUUUAAGUUGUAGAAAAUUUGAGAUUUAAAGGGGAUUUGCUCCAUCAUUUGCAUUCCAGAAUUCUAGCAAAGAUCAGAUUCAGUUUCUGCCAAAAAAAAAAAAAAGGAAGAAGAAGAAAGGUUUGCAUGGCUACCGGUGAAGUAACUGUAGUAGUGGAGAACAUAGAAGGGAACAUGGAAGGGAAAACUGAAGCAACAGACAACUCGAAAGAGAAAGUUGCAAGGUUAGUUUGUAUAUAUACGUACAACUUUAACAUGCAUGCACCAUUUUCAUUUUUCCUUUCUUAAAUAAAUAUUCUUAUAUCAAACAAUGCAAAGUCCCCACUACAGAACAUAACCUUUUCGUUCAAAAAAGAAAAAAGAAAAAAAAAGAACAGAACCUUUUGUUGUUUUGAGAACAACUAAAGUCAUUGCGUUGUAAUAAGCCAAAUAUUUAAACACAUAUGGUGGUACAUAUAAUAAAAUAAUACAUAGUAAAAUUAAAUUAAUGGACUGCUUUUUCUUGUCAAACGAGCUGAUAUGCGCAAAUUUACAUUUUUUUUUUUUUUUCGUUUUUGUUUUUCUCCAGUGAUCGUUAUUCAAAUUCAGAGGCAACAGUGAAAAACUCAGCCAUGAAAGAUGAAGAUGGAUCAAAUAAAAAAGAGGACGAAAAUCAUGAUACUCGUUGGGGGGCUUUCCUUCAAAUGUGGAAGAAGAUAUUUGUAGUAUCAUGUCUGUUUACUGUUGCACUGGAUCCAUUGUUUCUCUACGUUCCUAUGAUGAAGGAUGAUAUCAAGUGCCUGCUGGCCGACAGAAACUUGAAGACAACAGCUCUUCUUUUAAGAUCACUCACUGAUCUUUUCUAUAUAUUUGACAUUAUUUUGUAAAUUUAUACAUCUGCUAAAUAUCGUGUCAGUGUCACACAAAACGACUCGAAAAUAAGGUUUUCGUGGAAAUCAACAAUAGCUAAGAUGUGGGUAUUCUUCCGCUUCUACAAUAAUAUCUUCAUUGACAUUUUGGCUAUUCUUCCGCUUCCACAGGUUAGACCUUUAUUGGAAUUUACUGACUAGUAGCAAAAGAGGCAAAAGCCACAAUUUACCUAGCCACAGUGGGCCGACAGUGGCCAAUAUUAGUGAUCUUUGCUCGUGAUAAUUUGAUUUUAAAUGUUUGUAUUAUGUUGUCCAGGUAGCAAUUUUCAUCUUCCUUUCAAAAAUGAGGGACUUGAGAUCUUUGAGCACAAAAAGGAUGGCUAUUAUGAAUCUUUUUGUUUUGUUGCAAUAUGUGCCACGAGUUCUUCGGAUCUACUUAUCAUGUAAGGAACUUAAAAAAACUCCUAAAGAAGAGAUCAAAGAAACUGCUAUAUGAGUUAAAGGUGUCUUGAAUUUCUUUAUGUAUAUCCUGGUUAGUCAUGUAAGUAACAAUAUUUAAUCUUGAUAAAUGAUUUGGUUGGAUUUUUUUUUCCGUAAAAGGCUAGGUUCUUAACUCAAUCAACCUUGAUGAAUGGAAAAUGUACAUGGGGCAAAAUGAUCCAUAUUACAAUAGAGUAGGCAUAUACUUAAUAUUCUUGAGUUACAUUUUCACAAAACAAUAAUGUUUCAUAACAUUAAGUCCUUCUUCCAAUCCUUAUUCGUGUAUGUUCUUUUUUCCUUUUUGUUAUAACCAAAGGCAUUCAAACUCUAGUCUCUUGGGCGUAAGGGUAAAUACCUCGUACUGCUAUAGGUAGAAACUCUCAUAAUUUUCAGUCUAUGUUUAAAGGGUGAAGAUAAGUUGUUGAAAUAAGGAAACUGUCCUAAUCACGAGAAUCUAAUGUUGUGACGCAAGGAGGCGACUCCUUCCAAAUACGCCAAAUUUGACAGUAUUUGAUAAAUAUAUUUUGAUGUAUUUUUGUUUAACUUGAGUGAAGUCAAAAAUUAAAAUAUAAUUUUAUUCAUAUUUUCAUCAUCACCUCUAAGUCUAAUCUAAUUAACAAACUUGUUAUUAUUUAGGUACUUGGAGCUAUAUGGUAUUUUUUCGCUAUUCAACGAAUGACCAUUUGUUGGUGUGAUGCAUGUCGGAAAAAAAAGGGAGGUGAUACUAGUUCUUUUGGCUGUCAUGAGCAUAACACAUUUAGAAAUAUUAAAUUUUUAAAUGAUUUAUGCCCUAUAAGUCCAGCGAAUACAACGCUCUUUGAUUUUGGUAUAUAUAGUACAAUCCUUCAAUCUGGUAUACCAGGGUCAACAAAAUAUUUUCAAAAGAUCUCCAAUUGUUUUUGGUGGGGACUGCGAAAUUUGAGGUUUGUAAUUUUUUUUUUUUUUGGUGUUGUUUGUUUGAACUUUGAUGGGUAAUGAUGAAUUUGCUUACUUCCAAUCAUAUAUAUGUUUUACCAUUUCAUUUUUGCAGUUCUCUUGGUUAAAAUCUUGAGCCUAGCGUGGAUGGAUGGGAGAACCUCUUUGCUGCGUUCAUCUCUAUAAUUGGAUUGCUUUUAUUCUUAUAUCUCAUUGGAAAUUUGCAGGUUAGGCUUGAGUUUAAUUUAAAGAAAGUUGAAUGUAUCGUUUUUGAUUUGAAGGAUUCAUAAAUAACUAAUACCUAGUUAAGAAUGACUGAGCUGCUUGUUGUGGCAUGCAUAUAUAUAUAUAUAUAUAGACAUACAUGCAGUUGAUUACUGCACGAAGAGAAGACCAUAGACACAAGGUGAAAGUGAAACGAAAGAUGGAAAAGAAAGAUAAAGAGACAGUUGUGGUUAUCUGAAAAUGGCAUCCCCAAAAAGUUGAAGAAGACGGGGAUGCUGAUUUGGACUAUAUCUUCUCUAUUCUUCAAAUCCGUAUUAAAAAAUAUAUGCAGGUAAGUUCCUCUAAACCCAUGACUUUAAUUAAGUAGUAGUGGCCUUUCCAUCUACAUAUACUCCAGGCUGAAAACACCCAUCCUAAUCUCAUUUAGUAAAAAACAGUAAACAAGUACAUCUUUGAAAACUUGCAAAUUCAUAACCAAACUCAUGAAAGACCUAAAUGGACCAAAACCAUUUUAAUUGCUUACGUGACAAUAACGAGUCCCACUUUUUACUCUGAUAAGAAUUCCAGGUGGGUGAAAAAAAUUAAAAAAUUAUAUAUAUUUUAAAUUCAUUUACCACAUUUUUAUCCCACAUUUCUAUACCACAUGAUGUGGUAUGCCUAUAUCAUAUGCCAUGUCAAUUAAUUUAAUGAAGUAUAUCUCUAUAUUUAAAGCAAAAGGCAAAGAAUGGUGAAACAUUCAAAAUACUGGGAAAUGCCCUUGGUUAAUUCAAACAUUAAGAAUUGAACUUAUUAAUUAAAUGAGGAUAAUAUCAUAAAUUCACAUUUUUCUAUUUAAAAAAAUUAAAAUUAAAAACAAAAUAAGAUAAUAGGCCCUACUUUUAUGGAACAUAACUACUCAUGUUAUCUUUUCUUAAUUCUAAAAAUAAAAUAAAAAAUAAAAAAUAAAACCAAUUGGCACAUGCUCGGGCUAGUUCAUGUGCCAAGGGGCUAGUUUUAAUAAAGAAAUUUUAAUUAAUUGUGUUUUUUAAAGUGUUAAUAAAUCAUAAAAGAAAAAAAUUAAAUAAAUUUAAUUGAUGUGGUUGUCUACCUCAUUUGCCACAUAAGGUGGUAUACAAAUAUGAUAAGAGUAGCAUUAUUCAAAAAAGUUAUAAAAUAAUAAAAAACACAAUGAUCAACCAGCCCCACCUCCUCUCCCCGAUCUCCAUCCUCCGUUCCUCCCAGCCCCCAGCUCCCACCCCUUCACCGUCAACCUAACCCAUCCAUCCCCACCCGCUCCCUUUGUCUCCUACAAACCAACGACCUAACUCUCCCUCUCCUUUUUAAGAAACCAUAUGUCAAUGAAGGUGAAGACAUUCCCACCCAAACUUAUCUAAGAAACCCCAAUCAUCUUCCCAAUGGCGGGUAAUAGUUAGCUGGUGAAAGGACCCGCCCCGAAUUUUCUCAAAACUCGAGACGAACCCUUUGGAAUUCCUGACAUCACUUUGAUGCCAGACCCAAUUACUAAAGACCGAGACUUCCUGCAGGAAAUUUCGGCAGAGUCUCCCCUAUAAAUUGGACAUUUUCCAAAAUUUAUACCUGCAUGAAAACGCAUUUAAUAUUCCCAACUGGCAGCAUGCACAAUAUAAUUUCAUGCAAUUCACACAGAUGGCCUUCGGCCUUCCAAUAAUUCUUAACCAACUACCAAGCAAUUCAAAUACAAAUUAUGACUAAUAUUUAGUCUGCGGCUGCACCUAAUAACCUUAGGCUGCCUACGUACCCUCCUUGAAGGAUCAAGCCACACGUAGUUCUUCCCUAAAAAUCCAAUUCCACACUUGGGCGAUGCCUUAUUUCAUUUCUCUGUAUUUCACAUAUUCUCCCCAUACGCCGGUACAACCAACGCCACGUAUGAGGCCUGUCAACACGCCGGAUAACCUACGCCACGUGCGACCAUGCCAUACUAUCAUAAUAUCUCCUCAUACGCCGGUACAACCAACGCCAAGUAUGGGGCCUGUCCCAACGCCGGAUAACCUACGCCACGCGGGACCUCAAUAUCAUAUCACAAAUCUCCCCAUACGCCGGUACAACCAACGCCACGUAUGGGGUCUGUCGACACGCCGGAUAACCUACGCCACGUGCGACCUCAACACAAUAUCACAUAAUCUCCCCAUACGCCGGUACAACCAACGCCACGUAUGGAGCCUGUCUCAACGCCGGAUAACCUACGCCACGUGAGACCUGAACAUCAUAUUACAUAGCUCCCCAUACGCCGGUACAACCAACGCCACGUAUGGGGCCUGUCCCAACGCCGGAUAACCUACGCCACGCGGGACCUAACUUUCACUUGGCGGUACUUGUAGUGAAUCCAACAUCCGGGGCUCCGAUUCACGAUCUGUGAAUUCCUACACGAUCCUAGAAAUACGUAGAUUAACAUAUAUUAAAUUUGGGACCAUCCGACGGUCCCAACCUAUCGAACCCGGAUAACGCACAAUAUGCGAUUAUCCGUUCGAUAGUCAAACGAUGUCCGAAUUGAGAUCCGCGAAAUCCUACGCACUCGUGACAACCUAAGGAUCUCAUCGGAACACAGUGCUACUUUUCUACAGUGUCCACGCGCCGCCGCACGCUCCGGCAGCGUGUGGGUGCCCAAAGCGAUAACGCUUUGCCGGAAAAGCUCAAAACCACGGCUCCAAACUCCUACCCUAGGUAUAACACACUAUUUGGAGCCACUUUUGUUCUUGGACCUACCCCAAAAAGUGGCCGGAAAUGGCCGAUCACGGCGGCCGAAGUUCGGCCGAUUUUCAAUUUGAAAAUCGAGUUGUCUACGCUAAGAAUCGAUCUAAUCCUUUCCAACCAUCAGCUAGAGCAGCUCGAGAGGUUCAAAAUCCAUACCUGGGUCGACGGAAUUGGUGGCCGGAGGAGGGAGAUCGGCGGCUGUGAAGAUCCGGCGACGUCGGCCGCUUCUUCUCCAAAUUCCGGCGAAACCGCGGAUGCUGGAGGCGGGGGCUGGCUGGGGUAGAAAGAGGACGACGGCCAGGUCAUUUUGGUACCGAUCCCGUCGUCAUCGGUGGCCGGAGGAGAGCAUGGCCGGCCAAAACGUGACCGGCUGUCGCGCGCGAGAGAGAGGAGAGAGAGAGACCCGCGGGGGAGAGAGAGAGAGAGAGAGAGAAAAAUCUGAGUUUUAUAAAAAAUUCCAUUUCGAAAUAUUUACGAUUGUGCCACUGGGCUUCUUUUGACCAUAUCUCUCUCGUUACAACUCCGAUUCGAGCCCACUACGUGUUUAUGAACUCGUCUCAGUACGACCUUUUCAAAAAUACUAGUUACUGCCCCAAACUCUCUUCGGUUAAAAAUAUGACUAAAAUACUCUUAAAUAAUUAAUUAAUUAAAUAAGGGUUAAAUUCGGGGUCGGGGUGUUACAGCUGGUUUGUCAAAUCCUUCUCUCAACAACAAUCGGGGGACUCAAAGAAGCGCAAAGAGGCGCAGUUGCACCUCCCCUCGCCGGAUACCAUAGAAGUCAGUCAUUUUGACCCCUUGGGCGGCUGGGCAAGAAUGCCCACAACCUGUUUGUGGGAAAGCCGGAAUAAAGAGCAACAAAGCAGCAAGUGCGGUCUAUUUUUCUUUUUAAUAUGUUUUAAGAUCUCCGUGUGCAUUAUACGUGUUUAGUUUUUGUUCUAUCAAAGACCACAUCAUGCUGCUACUUUAGUUUGAGGGUAGAGCAGUCAUUAGAGCUUACUAGAAUAUGCAUUUCAUAAAAAAAAGAAGGAAUAAUUGGAAGUGAGUUUUCAUGUUUUAUUAGGACCACCAAAAAAGAAGUGGAGAGAUACUAGAGUUUGAUGGCUUAACCUAAAAAUAUUUUGAUAUAUAUAUAUAUAUAUAUACAGUCCCUUUUUAUUGAGGGAUUUCUCAAAUAAUUUCAUUUGAGGGACACCCUUUAGGGUCCUCUACGAAUUUUUUUUCAACGAUCGAAACCAUCUAUUUUUUAAGUCUAUAUUCAUAGAUAAUCCUUGAAGAAAAUUAGACAAAUCGGAAACUGUUUUGAUAUCCAAUUGUGUCCUACAAAAUCAAUGAACACAAUGCUUCAAGAAAGUACUAAAAUUUCAAUAAUUCAAUUGAGUGGUCAAAUGAUAUCGGAUUCAAGUGAUUUUUUGUAGAGAUAUCUUUGAAUGAGUAUCUACAAAAGAGAUGGUUUGGAUUAGUGAAAUACAAUACAGAGUGGGCCCUACAAUGGUAUCCCUCAAAUAAGCUAAUUUGAGGGAUCCCUCAAUGGAAGCUCUCUGUAUAUAUAUAUAUAUAUAUGAUCUUUGAAUGAGUAUCUACAAAAUAGACGGUUUGAAUUAGUGAAAUACAAUAUAAAGAGGGGCCUAAAAGGGGUGUCCCUCAAUGGAAGCUCUCUGUAUAUAUAUAUAUAUAUAUAUAUAUAUAUAACUUAACUCAAACUUCAGACUAAUGCAUAUGCAGAAAAUAAUGCAUAUAUGAAAUUAAUCAAAAUAGGAUAAUUUUGAAAAUAGCAACUUUUUAUUAUACUCACAGAGGUUGCAACUGCAAAUAAGCUUAUUUGAGGGACACCCCUGUAGGCCCCACUCCGGUUUGUAUUUCAAUAAUCCAAACCGUCUAUUUUGUAGAUACUCAUUCAAAGAUCAUCCCUACAAAAAAUCUCUUGAAUCCGAUAUCAUUUGACCACUCAAUUAAGUUAUUGAAAUUUUAGUAUUUUCUUGAAGUACCGUGUUCAUUGAUUUUGUAAGACACAAUUGGAUGUCGAAACGGUUUCCGAUUUGUCUAAUUUUUUGUUAGGAUGAUCUAUGAAUGAAGACCUAAAAAAUAGAUGGUUUGGAUCAUUGGAAAAAAAAUUGUAGGGUACCCUAAAGGGCGUCCCUCAAUAGAAGGGGACUGUAUAUAUAUAUAUAUAUAUAUAUGAAGCAAGUAUUUAGAACUUAAAUGAAGAAAACGCAUCCAAUUACAACCAUUACAUAUCAUCCUAGCUACACGGUACUAACUUUUAGAAGAUUUGCUUCAUAUUUUUCUCAAAUAUUGUAUCUAUUUAUAGGUGCCACUACUUAAAGGCAUGGACGAAGGAGUUUUGAGAGAAAUCUCUGAGAAGCUUAAGCCCGAGAAGUAUACCCGUGGAGAAAUCAUUAUAAACAAGGAUGAAACACUUGAAAUGAUGCUUUUCAUCGUGGACGGACAUGUAACCAUUGAAAAGGAAAAUUCUCAGUUGCAAUUAGGCGCACAAGAUUUUUAUGGAGAGAAACUUCCGUUAUCUGUUUUGUGGACCUCCUCUAGUGAUGCAAAACCCAUAAACGAGUCUGUUCAGGCCAUUGGACUGUUGCAAUCCAAUGGUACAAAUUCAAUUUUUCCAAUUUUUUUAAUUAAAAAAACUAAGUGUCUAUUUCCAAUCAGACAACCUUGAUUGAAUCUAAUGAAAUUUAACGGUAAAAAAAAUAUCCAAGGCCAAAAGGUUGAUAUUAGUUAAUUUAUAUCAUAUUCAACCUCGAAAAUGAUUCCUAGGUCUAUAUACCCACCCAUUUGUUCAUAAUUCGUGCCUCUUUCUUUUAUAAUCAAAUACAAUUAUAUUUUUAUAAUUUAUAACUUUCUAGUGAAAAUGUUCAUAAAACUAAUUUUUUUUAAAUGUAAACAAAAAUUAAUUCCAUACAAGUUCAUCAAAAAAUUUGAGAUUAAGAUACAAUACGAGUUUUAUUGGAGUUGAAUAUAAGUCAGUUUUUAAAAGUCUCGCCCAUUUAAAAGUAAAGUUCGAGUAAUAAAAGAAAUAAAUUAUUAACACACAAUACGAGUGCCCGUGAUAUUGAUGCAAAUUUACCCUUCUAAAUCAAUAAUUAUGGGCUAUUUUGUGCUCCAAAGUUCAUAUUCUGCUGAGCACUCAUCGCUUUAAUUUGGAUACUAAUCAGAAGGAUAAUUGCACAAAGCUGUGAAACUAAAUUAUAUUGAAUCUCGUGAAAGUCACGUACGUAUAGAUCCAUUUACAUAUAUUGAAUUAUCUAAUUUGACUUUGUCCUUCACGUGAUUCAAAUAAUGUGGUAAAAUUGUUUUUUAAAUAAUGAUGAUGAUGAUUUGCACCAACUUCCUAAAAAUGUGGAAAUUUUGUUUUUUUUUAAAAUUGCGAGUCGCCAUCUUCAUCUUCACCUUCAUUUGUGGUGACUUUGAUAGUCUAACUGAUAUGAUUUUAAAACGUCUAUGUCUUUGUCGUUGUGUUUGUCCUUCCUCCUCUGUCAACCACAAUUAUUGUUCACAGCCAGUUGCCUCUGAUUCGCUACACUUAGUGGAAGAGUAGUAGGGGACAAGGUUUAUCAAAUGUCUACUACACUAAGUCUCUCACAUAUCUUAUUUUAUAUAGCAAUUAUUGUUGAUCUAAACUCUUAGAAGCUUCAAAACGAGAGCAUCUACCAUUCUUAUAAUUAACUUGACUUCAGUUUGCUCCCAUCAUUUGCAAAUUCCACUAGCAAGAUCAGAUUCAGUUUCUGGAAAAAGAAAAAAAGACAAGAAAACAAAAAAGCUUUGAGUUUUAUAUGGCUUCCGCUCACGGUGAUUUAGAGAACGCUGAAGCAAGGUUGGUUUCUCUAUAUACGUACGAGUUUCAUAUGCAUGCCCCAAAUUCAACUUUUUUCCUUUCUUACAAAAAUAAAUGUUUUUAAUUAUAUUGUUAUUGAUCUAGAACAGUUUAACCUUUUGUUGUUUUAAGGACAUGCUAAAGUCAUUGCAUUGCUAUAACAUUAAUAAUAGUAUAAUCACAGCCAAAUCUUUAAUUAUAUCCUAUAUACGUAAUUUUAUGUUCUUUGUGUCUUGGCCAGCAGAACAGAUUAUCCAAAUUCAAACCAGACAACGGAAAAUUCUUCCACGAGAGAUGUAGAGGUGAAAAAUUCAAAAAAUGCAGCACGGUUGACUAAAAUAUUUAUAACAUCAUGUGUGCUUGGCGUUUUCCUGGAUCCUUUGUUCCUCUACAUUCCUCUCCUCAACCACGAUUUGAAGUGUCUGAGGUUGGACAACACCAUAAAGAUUAUCGCUCUCGUCUCGCGAUUGUUCACUGAUCUAUUUUAUGUAGGCAGAAUAAUUUUGCAAGUUUGUAGAUUUGAAAAUUGUUCGCCUUUCAUGAAUCGAAUUCUUCCCGAAAGUUGCUCCUCCAAGUUAAUAACAUCAUUCAUCAAAUGCUUUCGUGAGUUAUUACCUGAAGUAACUGAAGUUCAUGAGAAGGAAUAUCUAAUACCAAGUAUAACAAAGGAGAUACUGGAGUCGUCCAUCAUAGUUGACAUUUUAGCUAUUCUUCCUCUUCCACAGGUAUGAAGAAAAGCUCUUUGAUAUCUAGACUCUAGAUCCAGUAGUUAAUUGCUUUUCCAAUCUCACUGUUUUUAUUUUUUAUUUUGGUCAUAAAUCUCACUGUUUUUGUUUGCAUGCAAUGAUAUAUAUAUAUAUAUAUAUAUAUAUAUAUAUAUAUAUAUGAGUUGGUCCUUUAUGAGUUGUUCUCUACUACGGACGUCCAUAUUUUUUCUAACAUCGUCCUACAUGUUCUUUUGCCUUCCUUGUGAUAAUAAAUUAACCUUAUCACUUUUCUUGGUAAAGGUAGAAUAGAAACCAUGCUCUACCAAUACUUAAAAGUCAAACAUCACCUCUAGAUUGGCUUUUCCUUCAUUGGUGGCCUGUAGAGAGAAUUUGGAGGCUGUUAUGUGUGCUUUAGUGCCUUUUUUUUAAUGAUAAAGAAGAGAGAUGUAGAAAACAAAAUGGAAAUGGUUUUCUUCCCAUUGAAUGAAUGAAUUCAUUCUGAUCAUGUGAAAAAAACAAAACGAGUCUGGACAUUAAGCAAUUCCGGACGUCCGCACUAGAGAAUAGUCCUCUAUAUAUAUAUAUAUAUAUAUAUAUAUAUAUAUAUAUAGAGCUUUUAUUAAGGGAUUCCUCAAAUUAGCUUAUUCGAUGGACACCUUUGUAGGGUCUACUUCGCAUCAUAUUUCACUAAUCCAAACCGUCUAUAUUUUAGAUAAUCAUUCAAAGAUUAUCUUUACAAAAAUCACAAGAAUAUGAUAUCGUUUGAGCACUCAAUUGUGUUAUUGAAAUCUUAGUACUUUCUUGAAGCACCAUGUUCAUUGAUUUUGUAGGAUACAAUUGGAUGUCGAAAUGUUUUCCGAAUUGUCUAAUUUUUUGCAAGGAUGAUCUAUGAAUUUAGACUUACAAAAUAGAUGGUUUGGAUCGUUAGAACAAAAUUCAUAGUAUACCCUAAAUGGUGUGGGAUCCCUCAAUAGAAAGGGAUUAUAUAUAUAUAUAUAUUAGGGAUCCCUCAAAUAAGUUUAUUUAAGAGACACCCUUGUAGGACCCACUUUGUAUUGUAUUUCACUAAUUCAAAUCGUCUGUUUUGUAGAUAUUCAUUCAAAGAUCAUCUUUACAAAAAAAAUCACUUGAAUCCAAUAUCAUUUGACCAUCAUAUUGAAAAUUUUGUACUUUUUUGAAGCACCGUAUUCAUUAAUUUGUAAGACACAAUUAGAUGUCGAAACGAUUUUCGAUUUGUCUAAUUUUUUGCAAAGAUGAUCUAUGGAUGUAGACUUAAAAAAAUAGAUAGUUUGGAUCGUUGAAAAAAAUUCCGUAUGGGACCCCAAAUGUAAAUGGUGUCACCAUAAAGAUUCAAGGACUUUAUAUACUGUUAUAAUGAUCUGAAGACCAAGUGAUCAAUACCUCGGUGGCUAUAAGUAUCAUUUCAACCAUAUUAGAUAACAUUUUGACCAGUAGCGGGGCCAGUAUUUCACAUUAGAGGGGGUCUUUCAUAAAAUUUGUCUUCUCUUCAUAAUUAUCAUGAAUUUCAUAUUUUAAAUUGGUUAAAUAUUAAUUUUAUCAUCUAAACUAUUAAAGACUUAAAAAUUAAUCAUUUAUAUUCCAACAGAUAAAAAGAAAUGGGGAAGAAAAAAGAGUUCAUAAAGUGCAAUAUUAAGGUACCCAACUCAUACGAAAAAAAAAUUAGGAAAAUAAAAAAUUAACAAAAGUUUAAAUAAAAUGUUAAAACUUUAGGAGUUUUUUGUGCAAAUAUCAUAAACUAGCCUCGAAGAUUUAAGGGAGAUAAAGAAAUUUUACAGUUUAUUUGUAUACAAAAAGAACAUAAUAUUUUAUUUUAUUUUAGAGUAAAUAUCCUAAAAUCAAUCUAAUAUAUUAUAAUAUUGUAUAUCAUAUAUAAUAUACAAAUAAAAUAGGUAAAAAUGGAGUGGGGACAUGGGACCACACUGGUCCCAUGCUGGCUUUGCCCCUGAUUCUGACUAUGUUUGAUAGAAUGGAAUAAGAAUACAUUUAUCAUGAAGACUGGGCAUCGUCUCUGCUAUUUCGAUUUCAACCAAAUAAAACUAGGGUUAAUUUCAAUUAGAAUGCUAAACUUUCACCCUUAAGGCACGUUUGUCUAUGCACUCUCAAAUUUAACAAUUAUGAAUUCUAAUCUUAUUAAUUUUUUGCAAUCUAGUUUAUGCAUUAACUUCACUAGUGAAAUUUCUGUUAAUUGCCCACGUGGCAGACUUGUGACCUACUUAUUCACUUCUUUUAAUGCUAGUUGAAGGGUAUUUUAGACAAUUGAUGUCAAAUGGGUUUGGGUGGGAAUUUUUUUAUUUGUGUCAAAUGGUUUGGGAGAGGAGACACCAAUUGCCUGAAAAUACCCUUCAAAUGACUUCAAAAGAAGUGAAUAGGUGGGACCUACCAUUGCCACGUAGGUAAUUAACAAAAUUUUUGACAUGUAAAGUUAAUGUUGGAACCAUAUUUCAAAAAAUUAAUAAGAUUAGGGUACAUAACUAUUAAAAUUGCAAGUGCAAACAUGCCUUAAGGGUGAAAGUUCAUGGUACUAAAUUGCCCAUUCAUAUUUGAGUGAUUUUGUAAAACUGAGAAAAGUAUUGGAAAAUUGAUUUGGUUGACGAAAGGCAGACAUCCUGGCGAAGAAAAGGGUACUGUAUUGUAGUCGGUUCUUUCAAUUAGGACCUUUUUUCCCUCUAAAAAAUCAUUAAGACUUUUGAACUAAUUAAUAAAUCCAUAUCAUUAAGCGAUGAUAUGACAUUGCCAUGUCACUUGGGAUCCAAUUGUCAAGUCACUUGAUACACAAAUUUAGUAUUUCUAGUAUUACCCUAAUUUAAUAUUUUGUCUCACGAUAUGUUGUUAAUAGUCGAUAUUAACAUUGCAACGUGUCCAGGUGGCAAUUCUCAUUUUCUUCCAAAGAUGAGGGUCUCAGAUCUUUCGGGGAGCGUAUUAUGAAUUUUCUUGUUAUGGUGCAAUAUGUACCACGAGUUCUUCGCAUCUACCUAUCAUGUAAGAAAGCUAGAAAACCUUUCAAAGGACAUAUCCCAUUAUGGCUUAAAGGUUUACUCAAUCUUUUUCUCUACGUUCUCGCUAGUCAUGUAAGUUUCACUUUAUCAUAAUUUAUUUAAUUUUAAAAAGUUCGCUUUCUUUAAAUAAAGGAUCAUAUUUUUCUCAAAAGUUCAAUCUAACAAGUUUGUUGUUUCUUUAGGUGCUUGGAGCGUUUUGGUACUUUUUUGCUGCUCAACAAAUGAUAAGUUGUUGGGAACAUGCAUGUCAAUAUGGAAAUGGAUGUGGCUCUACUACAUUUAAUUGUCACGAUCACCAAACGAUGAAAAAUAUUACAGUUCUAAAUAAUUCCUGCCCUAUAGAUCCACCAGAUACAACUCUCUUUGAUUUUGGUAUAUACCUAAAUGUCCUUCAGUCAGGUGCAUUGUGGUCAACAGACUAUCCCCUGAAGUUUUUGAACAGUUUUUGUUGGGGCCUGCGAAAUUUGAGGUUUGUACAUGUGAAACCAACGUAUACAUUGAUGCUGUUUUUUAAACUAGAGAGAUGGUUUUAGAUUUCCUUACAUUGAGCAAUUGAGAUUUGUAUAUAUUAUGUAUUCUGAUCCAUUUCAUGUUUGCAGUUCUCUUGCUUCAAAUCUCCAACCGAGUUUCUAUACAUGGGAAAUCGCCUUUGUAGCUUUUAUAUCUAUAAUCGGCUUGAUACUGUUUGUAUAUCUCAUUGGAAAUUUGCAGGUUGGUGCGGUGUAUAUAAAAAGUUCUCCUUAAGCUUAAAGCUCCUAAUUUGAUUUUUUUUUUUCCCUCAUUUAAUGAACUGAACCUUGUUGUUGUGAAGUAGACCUAUGUGCUUAUAGAUACUGAAAGGUUAGAGUCGCACAGACGCGAGAAUAAACUUAAACGGAAGAUUAAAGAAAAUGACCGAAAGGUAGAAUCAUGGUUAUCCGGCCAUGGCAUCCCCCUUAGCGAAAAGCAGAAGAUCAUGGAAGAGAUACAAAGAGAACUUGUUGAAAACUCGGAUUUUGAUGUGGUUAGGGAAAUCCUCUCUAUUCUUCCCCGCGAAUAUAUCAAAAGUUGCAGCCCAUUGAGUAGGCUGAGGAAGGUAGGUUCAUCGAAAACGCAUCGUAUUUAAAUUUUCUCCACCAUUAUUCGUAUCCAAUGAUGAUAUAUAUAUUAUAUUUUUAAUUGCUGAUUAUUUUUCUCAAAUAUUGUAUCUAUUUCUAGGUGCCACUACUUAAAGACAUGGACGAAGGAGUUUUGGUAGAAAUAUCUGAGAAGCUUCAUCCCAAGAAGUAUACUCCUGGACAAAUCAUUAUAAACAAGGAUGAAACACUUCAAAUGAUGCUUUUCAUCGUGGACGGAUGUGUAACCAUUGAUAAGAUAGAUUAUUCUCAGUUGGAACAUCUACGCCCAGGAGAUUUUUAUGGAGAGGAACUUCUAGUUUCCCCAUUGUGGACCUCGUCUGGUGAUGCAAAACCCAUAAACCAGUCUGUUCAAGCAAUUGAUGAUGUUCAAGCCCUUGUUCUCUCUGCCACAGACAUGGCGACCUUGAGCUUUAGUUCCAGGCGGCAUAUCAACGAGUUGCGCAUGGUGGUAACUAUUCUUCAGAAAGUAAGCUCCUCUCUAUUUAGAAGAUAUAUAAAAGAUGAAUAAUUGGAUUCUCACCUUCCAUCCUUGCUAGCUACUAACAUACAAUGACGUUACUUAUUUGUUUUAUAUAAUGUUCUCUUUAUGUUUGAGAAAUUAAUAAUGUGUCAAAUCCUAGGUGCCAAAACUUCAAACUAUGGAUAAACAAGUAUUGAAAGCAAUGUCUCAUCAUCUUUCUCUGGUUAGCUACAAACGCGAUGACUAUAUUGUUCGAGAGAACCAACCAGUUAGGAGGAUGUUCUUUGUCACGAGAGGAGAGGUAACAAAAAAUGAGAACCCUCUCGAAGAAAAUUUUAUUGGAGAAGAACUUCUUGAGUGGGUACUGGAUAAGUCUUUUCCUACCAUAGUACCCCUGUCGACCUGCACUGUUAGAGUAGUCUCAAAUGAUGCCGAAGUCCUCAUUUUGAAGGCCAGGAUGUUGAAGAGUGUAGUCUCUAAGUUCAUGAAGCAUUUCAGCAAUUUCGCCUCUCCCUCAGAUAUCCGGUUGACUUGGCUAAAGAAAGUAAGUUGCUCCAUCUGCAGUACUAACUUUUAACCAAUUUGCUUUAUAAUUUUUCUUGACUGACAAUGUCACAUCUAUCUAAUUUUAGGUGGAAAUCUUUCAACAAAUGGAUGAACAAGUGUUGGAAGCAAUAUCCAAGUGCCUUAAGCACAUGAACUUCAAUGUUCCCAAGCGCCAUAUUCUUCAAGAGAAAAAACCACUUAAAAUGAUGUUCUUCGUCAUCCGAGGAGUUGUAUUAAUUGAAAGCGAUAGUGCUAUGGAAAUAGGAAGUUUCUAUGGAGAAGAACUUGUACAUUGGGUUACAACUUGGGUACACAAGUCCUUUCCUGCCAAACUACCUUUAUCACCUGGUUCUGCGCUAUGUAGUGUGCGUGGUGGUCCUGUCGAAAUACUUGCUCUCAAAGCCGACGACUUGAAGAGUGUAGUCUCUGAAUUCAGGUCGAAAUUCAGCAAGGAAACCACCCUGCCUACAGAUUCUGAUCAACCUCGAGAACUGACCAUCCUAAAGAAUGUAAGUUCCUCUGGAUGAAGAGAACCUGACCUAUAUAUAUAUAUAUAUAUAUAUAUAUAUAUAUUAUAUCCUAUAUAUUUUAAUCAUUAUUCUAAUUUCUCCUUUGCCUUAAAUAAAUAUGGUCUCCAAUAAUAUCCUAGGUGGAAAUCCUUAAGACUAUGAAUGAGGAAGUGUUGAAAGAAGUAUGCAAGCAUCUUAUCAAAAAAACGUAUAAAGAUGAGUACAUUAUUAUGAAGGAUAAACAAAUGGAAAUGAUGUUCUUCAUCGUCAGCGGAGUUGUGUCAGUAACAAACGAGAACUCAAAACAUUACCUUAGAGAAGGAGAACGUCCAAAUCACAGUGGAGAUGAGCUUAUACAACGUUGGGUGCGAUCUAAAUCUGCUGGCGUUUCUGCCGAAUUGCCCACCUCUCCUUCUAGCUUUUGGGCCAUCGGUGAAGUUGAAGUUCUGAUUCUUAAGGACGAAGACUUGGCAAGUGUUCAGCUUGGUGAUCGAAUUGGUUAGUAUUAUCAUGUAUGUGCAACUAAUUAAUUAAUUAAUUUUGUCGUGAGUUGUGCAUAUAAUAAAGGCAUGUGUGUAGUAAUAAGAUGUUAUCUUCCCACCGCGGCUACAUGCCUGCUUAUAUACAUACGUACUUUCGUUGUCUGAUUGCUAGUAUUUGAUGAUCUUGGCAGGCUCUUGAAGAAAUGGCAAGGAAGAGUGAUGGUACGAUUACUUGUCCAAGGACAGGUUUGGUUUGCAAUUAAAUAAAUCUGGUGAAGGCAUGUGUGCGUGUAUUUAUAUAUGUGUGUGUAUUUAUGUAUGCAGCCCCGCCUUAGUUGUGACCUUUGUUGGAAGAGGUGUUGUGGGGUAAGUACUCUUUUUUUUAUACCAAAUUUUCUUCUUCUGGGGAUUGUUUAUUAGAAAAGAAUUAUUAUUUUUUAUUUUUGGUCUAAAAUCAUAUCAUUAAAAGGAGCCCUGGAAAAGGAAAAAAAGCUGGCAUCAAAUUAUGAAAAAAAAUUAUUUUUUUGAGAGGCUAACUUCAACAUUUUUUUUGUUUAAUUAUCCAAGGCUUAGGCUUGAAAUCAAUAUGUUUUUCAUGAACCUUGUCAAAAUCGAAAUUCUCAUUACAUCACUAGCUAGCUAGCAACAAGACAAUGAAUUAUAUGUCGGCCAUCAUGAUACUAUACGAGUUCGGCAUUAAUUUCGAUUUGAUUUUGCAUCCCACUAGAACUAUAGUAGAACCAAACAAUUCAUCAUGUCCACGUCUGACAUGAAGAAGUUAAGCGUUUGAAGAUGACCCAAGAAAGUGGUCUCGGUCUCUUUGGGAGAUGGAGAUGGAAAGAAAUUCAACUUAACCAGUCCCUUAGCAGCUGAAUAAUCCCAUGCAAUAACCUCGAGCUUAAUGGCUACUUCUCUCAUGGAGGGCCUUUCAUCCUGCAACCCUAAACAGCUUUUUGUGAGAUCAACCACUUCUUGAUUAUUUUACCAUCAAGAAUUUAAUCCAAGCGACCCUCUUCCACUGAACGCGCAAAUAUAUAUAGUCCAUGGUCAAGCGUUUGGGAGACGAACAAAUUUAUGAGAAGAAGAUUUCGGUAGAAGACUAGAAGUCUGGAAGUCAACAACUUUCGCAUUUCUUUUAUUUAUAAUCCAAGUCUUGAAUUAAAAAUGUUUUUCAUGAGGACUUGCAAAAUGAAAUUUGCUUUGGUUGGGGAGGAGAAGGAGAAGAGAAGUAGAUCUAGUCUCGAUGCUUGCUAGCUUUAACAUAUUUUAUUAAAGCCAGGAAUUAAAAAUGUUUUUCAUAAGAACUAGCUAGCACUGCAAUUUAUAAAAUCACACAUCUUGCCAAAAUGAAAUUUGCUUUGAUUUGGGAGACGAACCAAUUUACUCAACAAGACUCGGGGAGAAGACCAGAUUUUAUUCUCAAUGCUAUAACAUAACAUUUUUUUCAAAUCCAAGUCUAGAAUUAAAAUGUUUUUUUUUUAUUGCAACUAGCUAGCACUGGAAUUAAAAGCAAACCACCUACCAAAAUGAAAUUUAAUUUAAUUUUUUUAUAUUAAGAGAGGCAGUUUGAACUUAAUAUUUUUUUUCAAUAUUUGAAGGAACUUAGUGAUCACUAACUGUUAGAUCUAAUCCAAUGGUGAUUAAGGAUCGUCACAUCUAUUUAUGAAAUAAUAAUAAUUUUAUACUAAAAACAUUGGUUAAAAGUUCAAUUAUACGGAAAAAUAAUUAAGGAUUCUCCUUCUUUAAUCGUAUUCAAUCUCUAGAAACGCCUUCCUUCGCCUCCCUUCUUUCUUUUUUGGGGUAGGGUUUUCUCUCUUAUUAAAACAGUUAUUCUUGUGUUAUUCUGAAAAAUUAUCCAGAAAACCGUAGUGUAGUGAAGUUGAAAAAGAAAGGAAAAUCAUUAUAAAAAAAUAGUUACAACACAUUAAAGGAUUCUUUGCCAGAUAGAGUUCAAGAAGAAGAACAGAUUCUCAAAGGAAAUACGAAAAGCAAAACUUGAACUUGAGGAGGGAGAGAAAGAGGGUUCAGCCGUGCCCAACGAUAAAACCAAUUGAGUUCAGAUUCAUAUUAACUCGUUGAUGGACGUGACUAAAAAGGAGAGGAAACAAGGAAGUUGAAAACCCCUAGUCAUUAUGCUGUGAGUUGGGUCAGCUUUAAUUUAUUUUUAGUAUAAUUGAACCCAGGCCAGUGUUUUUUCAUGUAAAAUUAUUUUUUCUUAAAUUGAGGCCUGAAUCAUUAUGUACCGUUGGAUUAUAUCUAAUGCCACGUGACCACUAAGUUCCCUGCACCUUGAUGAACGAAACUAUAUUGAAAGAAAUUUCACAUUCUAACCACAUGACAGACAUUGACAACAGUAAAGUGUUAUGCAGCAUAAAAAAAAUAAAGCAAUAAAGCUAAAGUGUUCUGACAUGGUUUUGUUUCACGAGGUACUCACUCCAGUUGAAACAAAAUACAUCGUUAGGAACAAGCCAAAUUAGCAACAAAAUGCCUCUCGCGCUAAUCGAAGUAGUUGCAAAAUUAACUAUUGGUUGGAAAGACGAAGGAAAUGGUUACAAAAAGACUUGGGUUGGGGACAAGAUAAGACUACAAGUCUAGAUCUAAUGUGAAUGCUAAAGUUAAAAAUGUUUGUUUAUGACAACUAGUAGUUACUAUUGCAAUUAGUUGAAACGACGUGCCAAAAUGUUGAUAACUAAGAUAAAAAAAACUUAUCACAUGAAAUUCAAAAUCAAUAUAAAUUUUAUUUAUAAAAUUAUAAACUUACCUGAUGAAAUUCAUAAUAAGAUUCAUAGCCAAUAUAUUGCAAAUCUGUAUAUGAACAAUGUGUUGUACCAUAACCAUACUUUCAGGUCAAAUUAGACCAGUUUCCAGAUUUGGCUUCAAAGGUUCAUGUGCAAAUAUUUUUAACUUGGGUGUUUUCACGUGGUUAUUAUUUAGAGUUUACCUUUCGUUUCGAUGAAGAAAUUGAAAAUUACGUACAAUUUUAAAAUGAUGGAAUUUAGAUUUCCGUUGUUUAAAUUUCUGACAAUUAAUAAUUUUAGUGUUUAAAUUUAUAUAUGUCAAAUUUUAUAAAUGACAAACAAUUAUAGGGACAAUAUAAAUGAUCAAAUACACAUCUUUUGACGGAAAUCUCGACUUCCAAUCCAAACAAAUUUUUGUACAGCCAUCUUAACGAUAGAAUCGUAUUAUAACAAAUUUUCAAUGUCUAAUUACUUUAUUAUUAAAAUUUAAAACAUAAGGAUAAAUAUGUACAACUUCAAGAUACCAACCUAAAUUAAUCCUAACGAUAAUAUUGAUAGCCUCGAGCAAUAAUUAAUUCUACAACUAAUACAAUUGCUCACUGGCAAUUUUUGUUGUUGUUGUUGUUGUUGUUGUCAAAAUAGCUCACUCUCUUGCUGCCAAAAAAAAAAAAAUAGUCUCUCCUUUAGCGCCCGUGGAACCCAGGUGCAUUCAAGAAGAUUCAAAACGUGGCUGAAGACAGCCCCGACAGCAUCUACCAUUCUACUAUACCUUUCACUAUUUUUUCUAAAUAUUUUCAUUGGUCUUAUUAUAAAUUUAUAACUUGACUUCAGUUGUAGAGAAUUUAAGAUUUAAAGGGGAUUUGCUCCAUCAUUGCAAAUUCCAGACAACUGAAGCAACUGUAGAGAAGAUGGAAGAGAAAGCUGAAGCAACUGUAGUUGCAGACAACUGGAAAGAGAAAGCUGCAAGGUUAGUUUCUAUAUAUACGUAUGCAUGCAAAUUUCACAUUCUUGUGAACUGUGAAGAAAGUGGUUGAAGUACGUAUUAAACUUUUUCUUCUGUCUCUCUUAAAUCUGGAUAAGAAUUUUGUUACUUGGGUUCCUUUCCUUAAAUGUUCUGCUCAAUCCGACAGGCGGUGGAAUUUUCUUUGUGUCCUGCCCAGCAGUAGCUAUGAUCCAAAUUUAAAUGCAGCAAGGUUGAACAACAUAUUUAUAUCAUCAUGUGUGCUUGGCGUUUUACUGGAUCCUUUGUUCCUCUACAUUCCCAUGCUCAACCAAGAUAUCAAGUGUAUGAAGUUGGACAACACCUUAAUGAUUGCAGCUCUUGUCUCACGAUCGUUCACUGAUCUAUUCUAUAUAGGCAGAAUUAUUUUUCAAGUUUGUAGAAUUAUUUUGCAAGUUUGUAGAUUUAAAAACUGCCCAGCUUUUAUGAAUCUAUUUCUUCCGGAAAGUUCCUCCUCCGAGUUAAAUCAAUUAAGGAAUGAAUACUUGCCAAAGUCAAGUAUAGCUAAGAAGAUAUGGCAGUCGUCUAUCAUAGUUGACAUUUUAGCUAUUCUUCCUCUUCCACAGGUAUGAACAAAGGCCCUUGCUUCGAUCUGGCCAGUACUCUAGAUCGAGUUAAUUGCUUUCCAAGCUCACUGUUUCUGUUUUUUUUUUCCUUCUUUUUUUCUUUUUGUUUGGUAAUUCACUGUUUUUUGUUUGCACGCAAUGCUAUUUCAAUAUAUAAGAGAUUUUGCUCCAAAUAGUCGAUAUUAACUUUGCUAUGUUUCCAGGUGGUAAUUCUCUUUUUCUUUCUGAAAAUGAAGGGAGGAUCUUUUGGGAAGCAUAUUAUGAACAUUCUGAUUAUGGUGCAAUAUGUACCGCGAGUUCUUCGCAUCUAUCUAUCAUGCAAAAAAGCUAAAAAACCAUUCAAAGGACAUAUGGCAUUAUGGGUUAAAGGUUUACUCAAUUUUUUUCUUUACAUUCUGGCUAGUCAUGUAAGUUUCACUUUUAUCAUAAUUUAUUUUAAUUUCAAAACGUUACUUUACUUUACAUAAGGAAAAUACUUGUCUCUUUUUCAUGCAAGAACUUCUACUUUCUUGCCAAUCAUAAUCUGACAUAUGCAAAUAAAAUAUAUAUUUUUUAUUUUUUUAUAAAUUAUUUUUGCAUAUAUGUCAAAUUAUGUUUGAUAGUAAUGUCUCAUGUUGGGAAGGAGACAAACUGUGUUUGAAAUUUUAUUUUCAUAAAAACUUAUUAGCAUCAUAUAAAAUUUUCACAAAAGUUCAUUCUAACUAGCUUGUUGGUUUCUUUAGGUACUUGGAGCUUUUUGGUACUUUUUUGCCGUGCAGCGACUAAUAAGUUGUUGGGAACAUGCAUGCCGAUAUGAAAAUGGAUGUGGCAGUAGUACUUUUGACUGUCAUGAUCACCAUACGUUGAGAAAUAUUACUGUGCUAAAUGAUUUAUGCCCUAUAAAUCCACAAAAUUCAACUCUCUUUGAUUUUGGCAUAUAUCUAAAUAUCCUUCAGUCAGGUGUUUUGUGGUCAACAAACUAUCCCCUGAAGUAUUUGAACAGUUUUUGUUGGGGCCUGCGAAAUUUGAGGUUUGUACAUGUGAGACCCUUUGAUCUUACAGAUUGGGUUAUAAUUACAAAUAAAUAAACAUCUAAAUUUGCAAUCCGGAGGAUUUUGUUUUUGUUUUUUUUAUAAAAAAAUUAUAAUAAUCAACUAGCCUUUGAAGUGUUGGUAUCUUUGUCGAAAGAAGUACUCUUUGCAUGGUAUUUUGAUUAAUUACCCAAAGAAAGUUAUUAAUAAGUACAUAAUCAUAAUGUGUUCCAUGUAAAGAUGAAUACAAUUAACUUUUUUCUUUCUUUCUAGGAUGGCUGUAAUUUAUAUGCCCUACAUGGACAAAAUGCUGGGUCUGGAACUAGAGAAAUGGUCUUAGAUUUCCGUACAUUGAACACAUUAUAGUCAUUUUAUAAUGAGGGCAAAUUGGUUAGCCGUUAGAUUAAAUUGGUUAGUCAUUUUAUAACUUUUGAUUUGUAUAUCUUAUGUAUUGUGAUCCAUUUCAUUUUUGCAGUUCUCUUGCUUCAAAUCUCCAGCCGAGUUUCAAUACAUGGGAAAUCCUCUUUGUGGCUUUUAUAUCUAUAAUCGGCUUGCUACUAUUUGUAUAUCUCAUUGGAAAUUUACAGGUUGGUGCACUGAAUAUCUUUAUAUAAAAAGUUAUCCUUAAGCUUUCAGCGAUCCUGAUAUAUGUUUAUUUAUUUUUCUCAUUUGAAUACCCAUCUAUAUAUAUAUAUAUAUAUAUAUUUAUUUAUUUAUGUUUUUUUUUCCCGGUCAAUGUGUGUGUCUAUAUAUAUAAAUUAGAAUCAAUGAACUGAAACUCUUGUUGUGAAAUAGACCUAUGUGCAGUUAGAUACUGAAAGGUUAGAGUCGCACAGACGCAAGAUGAAAAUUGAAAUGAAGAUGAAAGUAAAAGGCCAAGAAGUAGAAUCAUGGUUAUCUAAAAAUGGCAUCCCCCUGCAUAAUAUGCGGGUGAUCAUGGAAAAGGUACGACAAGAACUUGAAGAAAACUGGGAUAUUGAUGUGGUUCAGGAAAUCCUCUCUGUUCUUACCCCCAAAUAUAUCAAAAGUUGCACCCCGUUCAGAAGGCUGCAGAAGGUAGGUCAGAAGCUAGUUUAUACAAUAUAUAUAUAUACCUACACAUUUGUUUUUAACCAUCCGAACCAUCUAUAUUUUAAGCCUACAUUUAUAGAUCAUCAUUAUAUUUCCAGUAUGUAUUAAUGGUUUUUUUAUUUAUAAUAUAUUUUUGUUAUUUCCAAUAUGUACUAAUGUUAAAAAUGUAUGUUUAAUGUGUGUCCCCGAUCCUAUAUAUAUAUAUAUAUAUAUUAGAUUUUUAAUUGCUGAUUAUUUUUCUAAAAUAUUAUAUAUAUUUCUAGGUGCCACUACUUAAAGACAUGGACGAAGGAGUUUUGAGAGAAAUCUCUGAGAAGCUUAAGCCCAAGAAGUAUACUCCUGAACAAAUCAUUAUUAAGAAGGAUCAAACACUUGAAAUGAUGCUUUUCAUCGUGGACGGACGUGUAACCAUUGAAAAGGAAAAUUCUCAGUUGCAAUUAGGCGCAGGAGAUCUUUAUGGAGAGGAACUUCUAGUUUCGCCAUUGUGGACCUCCUCUGGUGAUGCAAAACCCAUAAACGAGUCUGUUCGGGCCAUUGAUGAUGUUCAAG